GAUGAACGCUGGCGGCGUGCCUAAUACGUGCAAGUCGAGCGAACGGACGAGAAGCUUGCUUUUCUGAUGUUAGCGGCGGACGGGUGAGUAACACGUGGAUAACCUACCUAUAAGACUGGGAUAACUUCGGGAAACCGGAGCUAACACCGGAUAAUAUUUUGAACCGCAUGGUUCAUAAGUGAAAGACGGUCUUGCUGUCACUUAUAGAUGGAUCCGCGCUGCAUUAGCUAGUUGGUAAGGUAACGGCUUACCAAGGCAACGAUGCAUAGCCGACCUGAGAGGAUGAUCGGCCACACUGGAACUGAGACACGGUCCAGACUCCUACGGGAGGCAGCAGUAGGGAAUCUUGCGCAAUGGGCGAAAGCCUGACGGAGCAACGCCGCGUGAGUGAUGAAGGUCUUCGGAUCGUAAAACUCUGUUAUUAGGGAAGAACAUAUGUGUAAGUAACUGUGCACAUCUUGACGGUACCUAAUCAGAAAGCCACGGCUAACUACGUG
rnacentral:rRNA from 1 species